GACAGAGGGUGCAAACGUUGUUCGGAAUUACUGGGCGUAAAGCGUGUGUAGGCGGCUACGCAAGUCGGAUGUGAAAUCCCCGGGCUCAACCCGGGAAGUGCACCCGAUACUGCGCGGCUUGAGUACCGGAGAGGUUGGUGGAAUUCUCGGUGUAGAGGUGAAAUUCGUAGAUAUCGAGAGGAACACCGGUGGCGAAGGCGGCCAACUGGACGAGUACUGACGCUGAGACACGAAAGCGUGGGGAGCAAACAGG
rnacentral:rRNA from 1 species